rnacentral:tRNA from 1 species
GCGAUGAAAUGUCUGCAACUGGAUUUAGGUUCCAGCGGUUUAGGCCGUGCGAGUUCGAGUCUCGCCUUUCGCACCA